GUUUAUAAAGCUCAGCGGCAUAAGCGCCUGCCUUGAAAGCAGGCAGUCGUGAGUUCGAACCCCAGUACCGAUA
rnacentral:tRNA from 1 species